rnacentral:tRNA from 1 species
GGGCCCGUAGUCUAGCUUGGCUAGGAUGCGGGGCUCGGGUCCCCGUGAUCCCGGGUUCAAAUCCCGGCGGGCCCA